rnacentral:rRNA from 1 species
AGCGAACGUUAGCGGCGGGCCUAACACAUGCAAGUCGAGCGAGAAAGGGGGUUCGCCCCCGAGUACAGCGGCGGACGGGUGAGUAACACGUAGGUAAUUUUCCCUUGAGCGGGGGACAACGUUCCGAAAGGGACGCUAAUACCGCAUAAGUUCUUGGGUGCUUCGGCACUGGAGAGGAAAGCUAGGCCGCAAGGUCUGGCACUCGAGGAGAAGCCUGCGUCGCAUCAGCUAGUUGGUGGGGUAAUGGCCUACCAAGGCAAAGACGCGUAGCUGGUCUGAGAGGAUGAUCAGCCACACUGGGACUGAGACACGGCCCAGACUCCUACGGGAGGCAGCAGUGGGGAAUAUUGGACAAUGGGCGCAAGCCUGAUCCAGCCACGCCGCGUGAGUGAUGAAGGCCUUCGGGUCGUAAAGCUCUGUGGGGAGGGGACGGAACCGCUGCACGUUCAUAGCGUGCAGCAUGACGGUACCUCCUUAGCAAGCACCGGCUAACUUCGUGCCAG